AAAUAAAGGCUUGCACUUUUCUAGUCUGUAGCACUUAUAAAGUUAUCACAGCUUAAACGGAGUGUCACAUUAAAAACAGUUUUCAGGUCACCUGAGCCAUAGUGAUAGAUGUCUUUGAGGACCACUUCUGCCAAGUUGUGCUUCUCUAGAUUCUUCUGUGCCUGAAGGCUUGCAGAGAGUGCUUGGAAAAUACUUGCUAGACUUCUCCAGCUAUGGAAGGGUUUCUAAUGAUUUCUUAAGAGGGACCACACUUUGAGCUAUGCAGCUCAAGAGAGCUUAAAGAAAAAAUUAGCAGGGAAGUUGUCAGAGCUUUGAACAGAGCAGCCCAUGAAGACUGGGUACAUUGAGAUAAGAGCAAAGGAUAGAAUACCUGACUUUCCUGCCAGGAACAUUAAUUUAACUGGAGUUCAUACCGCAAGAGAAGCAUGUUCAACUGGAAAAGAGAUGGUGGAAAUCAGAAAAGAAUUAGUUUCAACAUUUUCUAAGAAAACAAGCAGAAAGUUUGAUAUCUGAAUUUAUGUUACAGAAGGAAUUCUUUCUGGUAAAUAUGUCCUUGUGCUGCUUCAGACCCCUUCCAUGGAAAAGAGCUGUGAUUCCAGGAUGGAAGACAAGAAAAAUCUGCUGCCUAAAGGGAAGCAGCAAUCUGUGAGCUGCCUGCCUGCGAGAGAACAGACAGACAGUCAAGAUCCCUGUACUAGUGAGUGCCCAGAAGUCUGCUGCCACUGCAGGGCAUUGGUGCCUGGCAUACACUUGGUUAAGGCCUGAACUGCUGCCUGCUACACCUCUGAAAAGGAAUGAGAACAAACUUGUCAGCAGCUGUCUCCAGUGGUGCUUGUGGGUUUGCUUUGUGUUGCAGGCUCGUAUUGUGAGACCAGACUGCAGAUGUUUUCAGGGACAGUGUAAAUACUACAGCAGUUAGAUCAGCUCCAUUUUUCAAGUUUCUCUAAUGUUUUAUAUUCUGACACGUGAAAUUGGCUUUUAAUUGCUCCUAUGCAGUGGGUCUGUUUUCCUUUGCCUAGAGAGAAUAAAUGGAGACUGGAGCCUCUAAAGUGGUCUGAUAUCAGCCUGAGCUGAGGGACACAAACACACAGCAGGAAUGGCAAAAGAAUGACCCUGGUUUCGUUACACAGGAAGGCUCUAAGAACUUAAACUGUACAAUAUGUAUAAUGUACUAAGUCCAAUAUCUUAGCAACUGAAUUCAACAUCAUAACUGGAAUCAGUAAGAAAACAUAACAAUUGGAUUUAAAAUGAAUCCAUACCUCUGAAGUUGCAUACACACAAUCUAUAUACCAUAAUACAUUAAUAGGAAGACUGCAUUUUGUCCUUAGGAUUAUAAAUUGUUCACUUGGAAGUGCUCGAAGUUAGCAGCAGAUAGAAAGCAAUGAUAAAGUUCAGAAAAUGUGGGUCUCCAGGAUUAAUAUGCUUUAAAAUAUACCUAAUGUAUACUCUGAGUUCAGCACGUGUUGUUCACAUGGAAUAUUUUUAGUGGGAUGGGACAUUCCUCAAGAUACUGAGAGAAUGAGGUAGUCAUCACUCUCGACCAGAAUUCUUGUAUACAGAAAUUAAAUGAACUUG
rnacentral:lncRNA from 7 species